rnacentral:tRNA from 1 species
AAUUAAGAAUAUUGAUAUUGCAAAUAUCUAAAUAAAAUCUUAAUUU